ACCUAAAAAAACCAAUGUAGUUUGGCGGCAUUUACUUUAAUCAAAGGAACUUGUUUUGUAAUCGAUACCCCUCGAUACCUUCUCACUAACUUUUCUAAAGCUUAUAUACCGCCGUUUUAAGAAUAUUUUUAUAAACCAUAUUCCAAAUUUACACAAAACAAAUCAGGUCAAGGUGUAGCCAACAAGUCAGAAAAAAUGAGUUACUUUAAAAACUAUUUUAGGAAAAUACUGUAAACAUCGUUAGAAAAAGGAUUUGACCACAAAAUUAAAUUAGUAUUUCAAUUUGAAAUAACAAGCAAAUGUGCACACAUCGC
rnacentral:rRNA from 1 species